AAAACAUUGUGCUAAGAUAAAUGUUAUAGUAAAUUAAAAAGUUCCCCAAAUAAUGUAAUGCUGGGUUAAGAGUAAGUGUACUUACUACAUUAUGCACUUACACCUGUGGCCGAGCCUUAGGUUCUGUGGGGACAAAAACUUGAAGAUGGUAGCAGGGUUUGUUUGUUUGUUUUGUUUUGUUUUGUUUGUUUUCAUUUGCAGACUGUUCUUGGCAUACUUAUUUAUGUUUGUGGUCCUUGUAACUGACUUCUGCUUUUUGUUUGUUUCCUUUUCUUUAUCUGUUUACUCCCCAUACUGUGUCUUGCUGCCAGUUUCUAUUGCCCCCCCUCCUCCCCCCAUGCCUCAGUU
rnacentral:lncRNA from 1 species